UUUAUAAAGCUGGGAUAAAAAUACUACCUACAUCACAGCGUUAUUGUGAGGACAUGUAAACACUGAACAGAAUGUCUGGCUAGCUAGUUAGAACUGGAACAAAGAAUAUUCCAAAUAAUCUUAAUUAAUUUUCUUUGGGCCAAAAUGAAGAGAGUCAGGUAUAGAGUUGAGCUCCAUCACACAUGGGAGCACUCUGGCUCUGGCAGGGUUUUAUUAGUCAGUCAGAAUGUAAUAGAAACCAUGUUUCAUAGGCAUGUAGGGCCUUAGAGCAGAGUAUAGGAGCUUAAUAAAUAUUGGUGGAACAAACAAAUGAACUCUCAAAUAAUAUAUCUAGAACUUCCUUCUAUGAUGGGUCUGUAAGGAUAGAUUCCUCAUUCUAAGCAUUAUUUGGUUUAUACUCGAUAUUUUUAGAGUAUUUUAUUCUCAAAAUGACCCUUUAAGUCCCCAAGCUUACAAG
rnacentral:lncRNA from 1 species